GUCACUUUGCCGGAGUGGUUAACGGGAUCGCCUGCUAUCUUUCAGUGAGAGCGGUUGCUCUUUGAGCGCGUGUGUUCGAAUCGCACAGGUGACG